UAGUGAGUUUGAUCCUGGCUCAGAGCGAACGCUGGCGGCAUGCUUAACACAUGCAAGUCGCACGGCUGGGGCAACCUGGCAGUGGCGGACGGGUGAGUAACGCGUAGGAAUGUGUCUUGAGGUGGGGGACAACCCUGGGAAACUGGGGCUAAUACCGCAUGUGUCCUGAGGGACAAAGCCGUGAGGCGCCUUGAGAGCAGCCUGCGUCCGAUUAGGUUGUUGGUGGGGUAAUGGCCUACCAAGCCUGCGAUCGGUAGCUGGUCUGAGAGGACGACCAGCCACACUGGGACUGAGACACGGCCAGACUCCUACGGGAGGCAGCAGUGGGGAAUUUUCCGCAAUGGGCGAAAGCCUGACGGAGCAAGACCGCGUGAGGAGAAGGCUCUUGGGGUUGUAAACCUCUUUUGUCAGGUAAGAAGAAAGUGACGGUACCUGAAGAAUCAGCAUCGGCUAACUCCGUGCCAGCAGCCGCGGUUAAUCUGA
rnacentral:rRNA from 1 species